AUUAAACGCUGGCGGCAUGCCUUACACAUGCAAGUCGAACGGCAGCACGGGGCAACCUGGUGGCGAGUGGCGAACGGGUGAGUAAAGCAUCGGAACGUGCCCUGGAGUGGGGGAUAACGUAGCGAAAGUUACGCUAAUACCGCAUAUUCUGUGAGCAGGAAAGCAGGGGAUCGCAAGACCUUGCGCUCUGGGAGCGGCCGAUGUCGGAUUAGCUAGUUGGUGGGGUAAAGGCCUACCAAGGCGACGAUCCGUAGCGGGUCUGAGAGGAUGAUCCGCCACACUGGGACUGAGACACGGCCCAGACUCCUACGGGAGGCAGCAGUGGGGAAUUUUGGACAAUGGGCGGAAGCCUGAUCCAGCCAUGCCGCGUGAGUGAAGAAGGCCUCGGUUGU
rnacentral:rRNA from 1 species